UGGCGCACGGGUGAGUAAUAUAUAGGUAAUGUGCCCCUUAGUCUGGGAUAGCCACUGGNAACGGUGAUUAAUACUGGAUACUCCUUCUUNUUCACAAGNUUAAGAAGGGAAAUGUUUUUUCGCUAAGGGAUCGGCCUAUAUCCUAUCAGCUAGUUGGUGAGGUAACGGCUCACCAAGGCAAUGACGGGUAGCGGGUUUGAGAGGAUGAUCCGCCACACUGGUACUGAGACACGGACCAGACUCCUACGGGAGGCAGCAGUGAGGAAUAUUGCACAAUGGGGGAAACCCUGAUGCAGCAACGCCGCGUGGAGGAUGACGCAUUUCGGUGUGUAAACUCCUUUUAUAUGUCAAGAAAAUGACGGUAGCAUAUGAAUAAGCACCGGCUAACUCCGUGCCAGCAGCCGCGGUAAUACGGAGGGUGCAAGCGUUAUUCGGAAUCACUGGGCGUAAAGGACGCGUAGGCGGGUUGCCAAGUCUGAUGUGAAAUCCUAUGGCUUAACCAUAGAACUGCAUUGGAAACUGGUAACCUAGAGUAUGGAAGGGGCAGAUGGAAUUAGUGGUGUAGGGGUAAAACCCGUAGAUAUCACUAGGAAUACCGAAAGCGAAGGCGAUCUGCUGGGACAUUACUGACGCUAAGGCGUGAAAGCGUGGGGAGCAAACAGGAUUAGAUACCCUGGUAGUCCACGCCCUAAACGAUGAACACUAGUCGUCGGGGUACUAGUUACUUCGGUGAUGCACUUAACAGAUUAAGUGUUCCGCCUGGGGAGUACGGUCGCAAGAUUAAAACUCAAAGGAAUAGACGGGGACCCGCACAAGUGGUGGAGCAUGGUGGUUUAAUUCGAAGAAUACGCGAAGAACCUUACCUGGCCUUGACAUGGAUGGAACCACUUAAAGAAAAAGAGUGGGUGCCCUCGGGAACUGAAAACAGGGUGCCUGGCACGCUGUUCUCAGCUCUGUCCCGUGAGAGUUUGGGUUAUAGUAUUCCGC
rnacentral:rRNA from 1 species